rnacentral:rRNA from 1 species
AUUGAACGCUGGCGGCAGGCCUAACACAUGCAAGUCGAGCGACCGGCGGACGAGUGAUUAAUGUCUGUGUACCUGCCUGAUGGAGGUGGCUAACUGCUGGAAACGGUAGCUAAGACCGCAUACCAUCAGAUCUGCCUAGGUGGGAUUAGCUGGUGGGUGGGGUAACGGCUCACCAAGGCGACGAUCCCUAGCUGGUCUGAGAGGAUGACCAGCAACACUGGAACGGAGACACGGUCCAGACUCCUACGGGAGGCAGCAGUGGGGAAUAUUGCACAAUGGGCGAAAGCCUGAUGCAGCCAUGCCGCGUGUGUGAAGAAGGCCUUCGGGUUGUAAAGCACUUUAAGCGGGGAGGCGUUACCCGCAGAAGAAGCACCGGCUAACUCCGUGCCAGCAGCCGCGGUAAUUC